rnacentral:rRNA from 1 species
GAUGAACGCUAGCGAUAGGCUUAACACAUGCAAGUCGAGGGGCAGCAUGGUCUUAGCUUGCUAAGACUGAUGGCGACCGGCGCACGGGUGCGUAACGCGUAUGCAACUUGCCUCACAGAGGGGGAUAACCCGUCGAAAGACGGACUAAUACCGCGUACACUCCAUCUUGGGCAUCCAAGGUAGAGGAAAUGAAAUUCGCUGUGAGAUAGGCAUGCGUCCCAUUAGCUAGUUGGUGAGGUAACGGCUCACCAAGGCGACGAUGGGUAGGGGAUCUGAGAGGUUGAACCCCCACACUGGUACUGAGACACGGACCAGACUCCUACGGGAGGCAGCAGUGAGGAAUAUUGGUCAAUGGGCGAGAGCCUGAACCAGCCAAGUCGCGUGAAGGAUGACUGUCUUAUGGAUUGUAAACUUCUUUUAUACGGGAAUAACAAGAGUCACGUGUGACUCCCUGCAUGUACCGUAUGAAUAAGCAUCGGCUAACUCCGUG